AAACCCUUUUUUGGGAAUCCAAGGUAGAAAAUUUUGAUUUUUCUUCCUCCUUUCGCUUAUGCUAUCUUCGACGUCUCAACCCCGCUGAUCGCCACGUUCAUCAUACGUGGAGCUUGCCCCAUCGUCCUUGCCAUCAUCCAUCGCGAUUCGCUAGAGUGGCCAUCAUUCAUCGGAGUCCUCUCAUAUUCAUUGGCGUGCGUGCGAUGCAGCCAUGGAUGCGGCGGCACGACAUCGCUGUGGACUGUACAGCGGCGACUGGGCGAGCACAGCCAUCGGCCUGGCCUCUGCAACUCCAGGAGACCAAAACGCAAAGCAGCAGCCGAGUAGCAAGGAACGAGCCAUCCUCCAAUCGAAAGCUAAACUAGCAGCUGGACUGCAGUUAGCUAGCUCAGGCAUUUUGAAAUCUUUCACCAGUACGUGCCCAGCCAAAGGAAGGGAAGCCUAACAUGGCCAAAGAUAUGCUUGUGUGGAGCUUUGUGAUCAUGUCCAGUCGGUGAGCUUUACGUGGUGAUCAAGAAACAGAUCAUUGAAGGUUUGGAACUAAAAGAAGGAUCUGAGUUUUAA